ensembl:lncRNA
CACCCACUGACAUUCAUUAAUGCUUACUGAAUAUAUAUGGAGACCAAACAGUGGAUGUGGUGGGUCAUCUCCGCUGGUACAGAUUUUUACAAGCAUGGCAAGCAGUUUUCAUGGAAAUAAAUCGGAGGCAUUAAUUUUGGAGCGACUUACAGAGGGAAAGAGCGUCACACUUCAAGCGCCGGCUGUUGAGAUACAGGCAAAUAAAUCAAUAUCUACCAGCAGCACAAAAACACGAGUCGUCUGGGGAACACACUUUGGGUGGAAGCUGAUAACAGCCCUUCAGGAAACCGAGCUCAACAGGAAAGCGUUCAGCCAGGACUGACACAUCCUCACCUCCUCAACCCGCAUACACAAUUUGCUGCUGAAUUGAACUACAGCAUGUUCUUUGCUGACCUGGAAAGCUAAACUGCAACGAAAGGAUAAAAAUGAAUGAAAUAGGUGGGGGGCAACUUGUGAGUACUCAAAACCACAAAGUGAACGUGGAUUUUCAGCCUCUGUUCAUAUCUGGCAGUCACACACCAGUACUCACGCAGGGCUGAGAGGUUCAUUUUCUGCCAGGUUAACUCAUCAUUUUCUAACGCAGGGUAGAAUUUGACUCUUAUAUUUGGGACUGACAUGAGGGAGAGAUGCCAGAAGUGCAGGCAGUUGGAGAUAAACCACAAUUUGCCACCCUGGUGGUUUCGUGCUCUGCAAAACUGUUUCCAGACUGAAAUGACAGAGGUUGGUGACAUUGGCCAUGUAUGUAAAUGAUCACGGUGUCCUACGGAGAUUAAUUGGCUCAUGAAUAAAGAUGAGGAGCUGAGGUGUGCAGGGAGAAAUCAUUUAUCAAUUAUAUGCCUUGGAAAGCUAAAAGAUGAUGCGGCCUUAACAGCUGAAUGGGUUUGAAAGGGAGCCUUGUAAAUUGAGUUCUAAUUCUGUUCUGCCACA